CCUACGGGCGGCAGCAGUGAGGAAUAUUGGUCAAUGGCCGGAAGGCUGAACCAGCCAAGCCGCGUGAAGGACGAAGGUGCCAAGCAUUGUAAACUUCUUUUAAGAGGGAAGAGCAGAAGACGGUACCUCUUGAAUAAGCCACGGCUAACUACGUGCCAGCAGCCGCGGUAAUACGUAGGUGGCAAGCGUUGUCCGGAUUUACUGGGUGUAAAGGGCGUGCAGCCGGGAAGACAAGUCAGAUGUGAAAUCCCGCGGCUCAACCGCGGAACUGCAUUUGAAACUGUUUUUCUUGAGUACCGGAGAGGUCAUCGGAAUUCCUUGUGUAGCGGUGAAAUGCGUAGAUAUAAGGAAGAACACCAGUGGCGAAGGCGGAUGACUGGACGGCAACUGACGGUGAGGCGCGAAAGCGUGGGGAGCAAACAGGAUUAGAUACCCGAGUAGUC
rnacentral:rRNA from 1 species